GAUCCUGGGUGUUGUAUAUUUCACAGUAGCGACUUCUAGGUUCAUCAACAACUGUUUGGAGGCUCUGAUACUUCUGUCCUAGGUUCUACUAUCAGGAA
rnacentral:lncRNA from 1 species